rnacentral:rRNA from 1 species
GUCUACGGCCAUACAACCCUGAACACGCCCGAUCUUGUCUGAUCUCGUAGCUAAGCAGGGUCGGGCCUGGUUAGUACUUGGAUGGGAGAACUAGAUCUUUAAAGAAA